AUUGAACGCUGGCGGAAUGCUUUACACAUGCAAGUCGAACGGCAGCACGGACUUCGGUCUAGUGGCGAGUGGCGAACGGGUGAGUAAGGUAUCGGAAGGUGCCUAGCCGUGGGGGAUACGGUAGUAAAAAUUCGGUGAUUACGGCAUACGAUCAAUGGUUGAAAGCGGGGUACAGCAAGGCCACAGCCGUUUGGACGGGCGCAUAUCAGAUUAGGUAGUUGGUGGGGUAAAGGCCCACCAAGCCAACGAUCUGUAGCUGGUCUGAGAGGACGACCAGCCACACUGGAACUGAGACACGGUCCAGACUCCUACGGGAGGCAGCAGUGGGGAAUUUUGGACAAUGGGCGAAAGCCUGAUCCAGCCAUUCCGCGUGCAGGAUGAAGGCCCUCGGGUUGUAAACUGCUUUUGUACAGAACGAAAAGGUUUCUACUAAUACUAGGAGCUCAUGACGGUACUGUAAGAAUAAGCACCGGCUAACUACGUGCCAGCCGCCGCUGUAA
rnacentral:rRNA from 1 species